AUCGCUUCUCGGCCUUUUGGCUCAGAUCAAGUGUAGUAUCUGUUCUUAUCAGUUUAAUAUCUGAUACGUCCCCAUCGGGGGACUACAUAUUAAAUGGAUUUUUCGAACAGGGAGUCGGAAAUGGGGCUUGCUCCGUCCGCUCCACGCAUCGACCCGGUAUUGCAGUACCUCCGGGAACGGUGCAACACUU
rnacentral:snRNA from 1 species